CUCCUGCUGUCAUGAAUUUCCGUGCUGUCCUUAUCUUCUUCUGCCUGCUGGCUGUGAAAGCAAACUGUGGGGCUGUUAGAAACAGGGCAACCGAGCGUGCCUUGAAUGCCAGCAUCCAGGUGAUUAGGGUGAAGAUACGGAGCACGCUGGAGCACUUGGAUGCUUUUGGACUGCUUCCCAACAUCACCUGCCUCACCCUGAACCUUACAGAGCUGAUCAAGCCGGAGCAGCAGCACCUCACCGCUCACCAGCUGUGCUCCUUCGAGUGCCACAUGGUAAAGGUGUCAGAGUUCACCCCGGAGCUGUCGUCACAGCUGCAGGUCAUCUGCCAGAUCAUACGUGAUGUGGUGCAUCUCUGGACCGGCAAGACGGUCUCCCACACAUGCAUACUACCCUCCUUCAAGCAGGACUUGGACAGCUAUGUGUACGCCAAGUGCUUACUGGAGCUUGUGGACGAAUGGCUCGGCAAAGCAAAGUUUUGAUUUCACUGAUUGGUCGGCUACUAAUGUUCUCUUUUAUUGAAAAUAUUUAGUUAAAUCUGAUACCUGGUCAUGGAUCCUAUUGAGCAAAUGUUUUGUAUUGAAAUUAAAGUGAUGAGAAGACAA
ensembl:lncRNA